rnacentral:rRNA from 1 species
UACGAAGGGGGCUAGCGUUGCUCGGAAUGACUGGGCGUAAAGGGCGCGUAGGCGGCUUGCACCGUCAGAUGUGAAAUUCCUGGGCUUAACCUGGGGGCUGCAUUUGAUACGUGUGGGCUUGAGUGCGGAAGAGGGUCGUGGAAUUCCCAGCGUAGAGGUGAAAUUCGUAGAUAUUGGGAAGAACACCGGUGGCGAAGGCGGCGACCUGGUCCGUGACUGACGCUGAGGCGCGAAAGCGUGGGGAGCAAACAGG